rnacentral:rRNA from 1 species
UACGUAGGGGGCAAGCGUUGUCCGGAUUUAUUGGGCGUAAAGAGCGUGUAGGCGGCCAUACAGGUCAGCUGUGAAAACUCGAGGCUCAACCUCGAGACGUCGGUUGAAACCGUAUGGCUAGAGUCCGGAAGAGGAGGGUGGAAUUCCCGGUGUAGCGGUGAAAUGCGCAGAUAUCGGGAAGAACACCUAUGGCGAAGGCAGCUCUCUGGGACGGUACUGACGCUGAGACGCGAAAGCGUGGUGAGCGAACAGG